ensembl:lncRNA
CACGGAUGUGCAAAAACGUUCCCUCGGAAUUUGUUCGAUGCUGAUUGGCUUUAUGGCACAAUGUGACGUUAGCUCGCGCCUUGUAGACAACGUAGUUGGGGUUUUUUUUUUUAUUUAAAAAAGUGUAUAUAAAAUGCUGAAAGGAUACCAGGACGGGAACAUCCGAAAUUACGACCGCAGGCCAUGGCUGCCCAAACCUAUUCCUGGAUUGCUACUGUCCUGUCUGUUGUGGUAUAUGUCCCUCCUGGUCCUCUGAUCCAUGUUGAAGGCUAACGUGUGGCAGUGCCCUGUGAAGUCAAAGAUGACAUGAAUCCCAGAGAGCAGGGUCAACGUAGUAAGGC